CAAGACUAAGCAUAGACAAUGUACAGCAUCCAUGGUUCAUUCUCUACCCAUCUUUUUCCUUGCAAACAUCUUUCUUUCUUUCUUUCUUUCCUCUAUAAAAUAAUGAUAUCUGCUUGAUAUUAUCCUUCAGGCCAAUAUAUGACGCAGAGCUCCAUGACAUGUUCUCGGAGGUUUAUUGUCCAUAUAUUUCUAAAAGGGAACUAGUAUAUAGUAGUAUGAAACUUUUUCUUUCACUUUCCCUAUUUGUGGUCUGUCAGGAAGUUACAAUAUUUUUCUGAGUAAUAUAACACUUCCAAGUCUUUAUAGACUGCAAAGAGCGAAACGUGGAAGCAUAUAACCGCUUUACCUUCUAAAUUUCAUUAGAAACAUGAUGAUAUUUAACAAUUCUUUUGAAGUAGAUGACAAGACAUUUGCUAAAUAUGUCUCAUGUAUGUUCUGUUAUUUCUCCUCUGUCAUUUUGGAUUUUCUGAGUGUGAUGGAACUGCAAUACCAGGAAAGAGGGUUGUUAUUUGUAAAUAUCGCUAUGAUCCAACUGUUGCCUUGGGAUUUUUGUCUCCUGUCUUUCUUGAUGCAUUUUCUGUGGCCGGCUUCUUGUCUUUGUUUUACCCAUAUAAAGGGAAGUCAAUGCUGUUCUGCUGAGAAGCACUAGUUUUGCUGUAUUCCUCAAUGUUGCUCUAGCAUAAGUGAAUCUAUUAAUGUGAUCUCACUUCAAGGAUAGCACGGUGGAAGUGACAAUUAUUGAAUCCUAAGUAUCUGCUGCUGGAGGGGUUCUUGUGGUGAUUACAACACACUUGAGUGGGCAAGAAAGCUUGAGAAAAAGCUUUUCUUAGACUUUUUUCUUGAUACACAGGAGAAGGGUUUAUGUGUUGAAUGAUAUUUUGCAAAUUUUUUGGCGUAGAAGAAUCUUCAGCGGUUGUCACCGUUAAGGAUGAUGGGAAUACUUUAAUUGCUUCUUUAGGUAUGUCCUUUUGCUUUCAACACUAUCUCAAUUGGUCAUUUGAUUGCUUUAACUGAACUCUCUUUUGCUUUAACACUAUCUCAAUUCUGAUUUUUGUUGGUGGUUUAUUGUUAAGGAUUUACGUUAUAUACACUAGCCGUGUGAAGAUUCUUUUAUUUCUAGACUACUAAAUGCAUUUUACAAAUACAUUGACAUUAAUUUAAAUUGGACUUGACUUAAUACUUAUGUCAUGUAACAUCCAGGAGGGAAAAUAAUGAUUUCUCUUUCUGUUUCAGCAAUAAGUGAUGAAAGGUAUUCUCAAGUCUUCCAUUUGUAAAUUCAUUAUGUAGAAGUGGAUUAUACAAAUUAGUUGAUAAGUUCAUACCUUGCUUUUCUCUAUUUUCUCUCUUGCUAAAUGGGAUAGUAAAGGGUGACGUGAUGUGCACACAAGUAUGGUUUGCUUGAAUGAGAAGAAGCGUAUGCUUGAAUGAGACGUGAUGUGCCUGCGUGUAUGGUUUACUAAAGUUUUGUGCAAUGAACAGUUUGUUUCACACAUGUGCUGGUGUAGCAUUAACAUCGACUAGGCAUCUUGUUGCAGGAGUUCAAUCUGUUGAAUUCUAGUUUAAGCCCAUCAACUGUUGAAUCUCUAUAUGUUUCCAUUGAAUUAACCACAUGGAAUACAAAAUAUAAAAGGACGAAGGUAGUGGGAAAUGCAUUCGCAGUGUUCUUGGCCUGUGCUUUGCACGACAAGUGAUAAGAACACAUGUUAGAUGAUAUGUUUUCAUGGUCCUUUCAAGCACUUAUCCCUUUGUGUCUUCACAUGCUUUUCUACUCCUUCAAUUUCAGGUUUCUUUCUAAAAGUUCCUUUUUUAUUUUUAAUGAAUCUACUACUCCAAAUGAAUGAAAGAAUAGUUGUGAAGAUUUUUAACUUCAGGACCAAGCUCAAUUUGUUAAGGCUUUCAAAUUUAGCUUAUGGGAAGUUGCUAAAAUAAUCCUGAAACAAAUCCUUCUCUAUUUGUAGCUUCUGCUAUAUUGGUUCAUGCUUUAAUAUAAUUCAUAAUGAGGCUUUCCUUUAAAUAUCCAGGUUCUUUUAAUUUGUUUUUGAGUCCCAACUGCUCAAAACAUGUUAUUGAAGAAUAUUCUUGGGAGAUGUUACAAGAGUAUGGUCAAAAGGGUCUCACCCUACAAAAGUGUUUGCUUCAAGUUAUCUAAAUGUCCAGUGCCAAUACUUUGUGUUUUAGCUCAAUUCACUGUCCUGUUUGGGUGUUUCUAAAGGCAAUAACGUGUUUGGUUCAAGUUAUCUAAAUAUUUAGUUUUACAAAUAUUCUAACCUCGGAAGUGGGAGUGCUCUUCUGAUACCAGUUCCUUUGAGAGAGCCUUCCUAUUGAAGGAAUAGCUAUAGAACAGCUCACUGUCAUUCCAAUAUGAUUCUGAACGACAUGCAAAACUAGAUUCCUUGAUGUGUUUCAGAACAAUGCUUCUUCACCUAUCUUUCAUUCUCUCUCUAUAUUUCCCUGCUAAAUUAUCUUCUUUCCAAUGUUGCUUCUCCUAUUUUCUGGGGGAAAAUUGUCAAAAUGUUCUAUUUUGGAGCUUUUAAACAAACGACAACAACAUACCCAGUAUAAUCCUAUAAGUGGGGUUUAGGGAGGGUGGUGUUUACACAACUUUACCCCUACCUUGAGACGGUAGAUUUUGAAGCUUUUAAUGAUAUUCCUAAAUUAUAAUUUGUACUAGUGAUUAGCAUUAACAUGUUUCCAGUGGAACUUCUUAUUUGUCAAAUGUCAACUUACUGAAAGGGAAUCUUUGUUUACGUGUUUAGGGGUAAAUCAAUAUAGUUUCUAUUACAGUCGGCCAUGGUUAAGAGCAGGAAUCAACAACAACAAACUCGGUGUAAUCUCACAGGUAGGGUUGGGGGAAUGUAGUGUGUACGCGGACCUUAACCCUACCUUGUGCAGGUAGGGAGGCUGUUUUCGAUAGACGUUAAGAGCAGGAAUAUUCGCAUAACCAACUUUUCUUGAGGAUUAUAUGGACUUUUGUAAAUUUCAUAUGUCCAUAUUAUAAAUUUUUGUAUUACUAAACUAGUUACAUAGACUUAUUUUUCAUUUUUAGUUGUUGAAUGUUGACCCUCAGAGCUGAAGUUGGUUUAACAUCAGCAAAUCACAGAGAAAUGAUCUAUAGUACUCCACUGGUGAAAGUGAAUAUUGAGGAAAUAGUGGAUUUCAAAAGAUGGGAAUGAUGAGAGAAAGGUGUUCUUUGCUACAAAUAGCCCUUGCAGCCUUUGUUGCUUUUUGCUCCAGUGAUGCAGUUCAUCUUGUGAUACCACUGAGCAGAACCAAGUAUCAAGUUGCAAUAUAUUGCUUUUUCUGGGCUGUUGUAAAUAGCAAUGUUGUGCCCCAGCAGUGCUGCACAAACAAGCUGCGCUGAUGCUUAGCAACCAGCUUCAUGAAUGAAUCAAAUUACACCACAUCAUUUCGUCAUUUGUAAGGAUCAGUGAUACAUUUAUAUUUAGCUUUCCUGGCUACCUUUUGUUGUCCAUGCUACAUCAGGUGCUGCACAUAGCAAUGCUGUUUUCCACCAGCACUACACUAGCAACCAAGAAAAUUGUUGCUCUUUUCCAUAACUGAUUCCCUGCAGUUGCACAUCAUUCAGCAACCAGCUUCAUGAAUGAAUUAAAACUACACCACAUCAUUUCCUCAUUUCUGUAAGGAUCAGUGAUGUAGUUAUAUUUUAGCUUUCCUGGCCACCUUGAGUUGUCCAUGCUAAACCUGCAAAAUAGAGCACAUUGUUAGAGUAAAAUACCACCAUGCUUUCCUCCAAAUGGACUUGAGCAUGAUGGUUCAUUAUCACUGGAAACACCAGGUCUGAGCCACCAAGUUUGGUUCAUUAUCACUGGAAACACCAGGUCUGAGCCACUAAGUUUGCUGAUGUUUUCCAACUUGCCAACAACUUCCCUCUAUACUAUUCCUCUUCACCUUAGCACCCUUCUGUCUCCAAGUUAAUUCAAAAAAUCCUUGUUUCU